UGACGAACGACGAUGGGGAGCUGCUGUGCUGAGGGCAGAUCUUGGCCGGGUGGUUUGGGUUCUGGAGAGUGAGAGGGCUAUCUGUGGCCAGCUGGGAUUUGAAGAUGAGAGGAAAAAUCGGGUGAAGGCUGCCUUGGAGAACUGGUUCGGUGCUGGGAGAAGGAAGAUGAACGGCUGGUGUCGGGGUGUAGCUGUAACACGGGGUUCGAUGAGGCUGAUUUGUGGCUGAGAGAGGAGAGGGAUGGUGGGCUGUGUAGGGGCUGAGGAUGGAUGGAUGUCGGUCAGAGAGAGGCUGGGAACCGGCUGGAAAAGGAGAAGAAAAUGGGGGGAACUGCAGUGAGAAGGGGGGGCUGUUCGGUUUGGGGGAAAAAGAGAGCUUGGUUUUUUUUUUUUUUUCAGGUGGCUGUAAAGGCAGCUGUGAGGAGAAGAUCAAAAUCCAAGGGGGG
rnacentral:lncRNA from 1 species